rfam:Felis catus isolate Cinnamon breed Abyssinian chromosome A3, whole genome shotgun sequence.
GCCUGGGUGGCUCAGUCAGUUGAGCAGCUGACUUCAGCUCAGGUCAUGAUCUCGUGGUUUGUGGGUUCAAGCCCCAUGCCGGACU